GACGAACGCUGGCGGCGUGCUUAACACAUGCAAGUCGAACGAAAAGGCCCUGCUUUUGUGGGGUGCUCGAGUGGGGAACGGGUGAGUGAAACGUGAGUAACCUGCCCUUGACUUUGGGGUAACUUCACGAAACUGGGGCUAAUACCGGAUAGGAGAUCCUGCAGCGUAGGGGGGGUUGGAAAGUUUCGGCUGUUUGGGCUGGAUUAGCGGGUUAUCAGCUAGUUGGUGGGGUAGGGGAGUUCCAAGGCUUUGACGGGUAGCCGGCAUGAGAGGGUUACCGGCCACAAGGGGCCUGAGGUAGGGCCCAGUCUGCUACGGUACGCAGCAGGGGGGAACAUGGCGCAAUGGGCGGAAGCCUGAUGUAGCAACGCUGCGUGCGUGAUGACGUCUUUUGGGUUGUAAACCGCCGUCUCCUUUGCUGAAGCGUGAUUGACGGUAAUGGAUAAGGAAGCACCGGCUAACUACGUG
rnacentral:rRNA from 1 species